UCCAUGUUGCUUCUAGACUCUGAAAGAUGU
rnacentral:piRNA from 1 species